UACGUAGGGGGCAAGCGUUGUCCGGAAUCAUUGGGCGUAAAGAGCGCGUAGGCGGCCCUGUAAGUCCGCUGUGAAAGUCAAGGGCUCAACCCUUGAAUGCCGGUGGAUACUGCAGGGCUAGAGUCCGGAAGAGGCGAGUGGAAUUCCUGGUGUAGCGGUGAAAUGCGCAGAUAUCAGGAGGAACACCGAUGGCGAAGGCAGACUCCGCUGGG
rnacentral:rRNA from 1 species